rnacentral:rRNA from 1 species
UAGGGAAUCUUCCGCAAUGGACGCAAGUCUGACGGAGCAACGCCGCGUGAGUGAAGAAGGAUUUCGGUUCGUAAAACUCUGUUGUUAGAGAAGAACAGCGCAUAGAGUAACUGUUAUGCGUGUGACGGUAUCUAACCAGAAAGCCACGGCUAACUACGUGCCAGCAGCCGCGGUAAUACGUAGGUGGCAAGCGUUGUCCGGAUUUAUUGGGCGUAAAGCGAGCGCAGGCGGUCAAUUAAGUCUGAUGUGAAAGCCCCCGGCUCAACCGGGGAGGGUCAUUGGAAACUGGUUGACUUGAGUGCAGAAGAGGAGAGUGGAAUUCCAUGUGUGGCGGUGAAAUGCGUAGAUAUAUGGAGAAACACCAGUGGCGAAGGCGACUCUCUGGUCUGUAACUGACGCUGAGGCUCGAAAGCGUGGGUAGCAAACAGG